rnacentral:rRNA from 1 species
UCUCUCAGUACGGUCGGAAAUCGUACGUAGAGUGUAAAGGCAAAAGAGAGCUUGAUUGCAAGACAUACAGGUCGAGCAAGGAUGAAAAUCGGACUUAGUGAUCCGGUGGUUCUGCGUGGAAGGGCCAUCGCUCAACGGAUAAAAGCUACCCUGGGGAUAACAGGCUUAUCUCCCCCAAGAGUCCACAUCGACGGGGAGGUUUGGCACCUCGAUGUCGGCUCAUCACAUCCUGGGGCUGUAGUAGGUCCCAAGGGUUGGGCUGUUCGCCCAUUAAAGUGGUACGCGAGCUGGGUUCAGAACGUCGUGAGACAGUUCGGUCCCUAUCCGUCGCAGGCGUAGGAAAUUUGAGAAGACCUGUCCUUAGUACGAGAGGACCGGGAUGGACGUACCUCUGGUGUACCAGUUGUCCUGCCAAGGGCAUGGCUGGGUAGCUAUGUACGGAAUGGAUAAGCGCUGAAAGCAUCUAAGCGCGAAGCCAACUUCAAGAUAAGAUUUCCCACCG